UAAGACAGAGGUGGCAAGCGUUGUUCGGAAUUACUGGGCUUAAAGGGCGCGUAGGUGUCCCGGCAAGUCAGAUGUGGAAUCUCUCCGCUUAACGGGGAAAUUGCAUCUGAAACUGUCGGGAUUGAGUCAGCGAGGGGAUGGCGGAAUUCCAGGUGUAGCGGUGAAAUGCGUAGAUAUCUGGAGGAAGGCCGGUGGCGAAGGCGGCCAUCUGGCGCUGAACUGACACUGAGGCGCGAAAGCGUGGGGAGCAAACAGGAUUAGAUACCCUGGUAGUCCACGCCCUAAACGGUGGGCACUAGGUGUAGGGCUCGUAAGGGUUCUGUGCCGAAGGGAAACCAUUAAGUGCCCCGCCUGGGGAGUACGGCCGCAAGGUUGAAACUUAAAUGAAUUGACGG
rnacentral:rRNA from 1 species